rnacentral:rRNA from 1 species
AACGAACGCUGGCGGCGUGCCUAACACAUGCAAGUCGUGCGAGAAAGUUCCUUCGGGAGCGAGUAAAGCGGCGCACGGGUGAGUAACACGUAGGUAACCUGCCCCCCAGUCUGGAACAACUAGAGGAAACUCUAGCUAAUGCCGGAUGAGACCACGAUCCCUUCGGGGGUUGCGGCCAAAGAUGGCCUCUACUUGUAAGCUAUCGCUGAGGGAUGGGCCUGCGGGCCAUUAGCUUGUUGGUGAGGUAACGGCUCACCAAGGCUGUGAUGGCUAGCUGGUCUGAGAGGAUGACCAGCCACACUGGGACUGAGACACGGCCCAGACUCCUACGGGAGGCAGCAGUGGGGAAUAUUGGACAAUGGGGGGCAACCCUGAUCCAGCGAUGCCGCGUGUGUGAAGAAGGCCUGAGGGUUGUAAAGCACUUUAGUUGGGGAGGAAGAAUCCAGUGAUGAAUAAGCUAUGGAAAUGACGUUACCCAAAGAA